rnacentral:rRNA from 1 species
UAUUUUGACCGUGCGAAGGUAGCGUAAUCACUUGUCUUUUAAAUAGAGACCUGUAUGAAUGGCAUAACGAGGGCCAAGCUGUCUCCUUUCCCUAGUCAAUGAAAUUGAUCUGUCCGUGCAGAAGCGGACAUACAAACAUAAGACGAGAAGACCCUAUGGAGCUUAAGACAACAAGAUAUGCCACGUCAAAUGCCCGAACCCCUCCCCUCGGAUUGAACAAACUGGCCCAUAUUUUAAUGUCUUCGGUUGGGGCGACCGCGGAGAAACAAAAAACCCCCGCGUGGAAUGGGGCCUACCCCAAAGCUAGAGCCACAGCUCUAACUAACAGAAUAUCUGACCAGCAAGAUCCGGUAUUACCGAUUAACGGACCCAGUUACCCUAGGGAUAACAGCGCAAUCCCCUUAUAGAGUCCAUAUCGACAAGGGGGUUUACGACCUCGAUGUUGGAUCAGGACUUCCUAAUGGUGCAGCCGCUAUUAAGG